AUUAUUGGAAUUUAUUCGACGAUAUAUUGGAUAUCCGUCGACAUUUGUGAUCGUAUCGUUAGUGAAAUCUUUAGGGAUAAUUUUAGUACAUUUUCCAUCUGGCAUGCAAGGCGAUGAACGAUUAAGAGUACCGCAUGAGCCAUGAAUCAUGUUUGCUGUAACAAUAUCAAACAGCAGUUGGUCAGUGGACGGAUCUGGAAUUUCCGCAGAAAUGAUACUAUCGAUUUCUUCAGGACGGAUUUUGUCGAUUAACCAAACCAAAAUGUGUGCAUGAGGUAAUCCUCGCUUUUGCCACUCAACCGAAUACAGCCAGCAACGUGUGG